AACGUACGCUGGCAGCACGCCUAACACAUGCAAGUCGAACGCAAUAGCAAUACUGAGUGGCAGACGGGUGAGUAACAUGUGGGAAUCUGCCUUGUGGUUCAGGACAACAUUGGGAAACCGAUGCUAAUACUGGAUAAGCCCUUACGGGGAAAGUUUUAAUGCCAUAAGAUGAGCCCGCAUUUGAUUAGUUAGUUGGUGAGGUAAUGGCUCACCAAGACAAUGAUCAAUAGCUGAUCUGAGAGGAUGAUCAGCCACACUGGGACUGAGACACGGCCCAGACUCCUACGGGAGGCAGCAGUGGGGAAUCUUGCACAAUGGAGGAAACUCUGAUGCAGCGAUGCCGCGUGAGUGAAGAAGGCCUUUGGGUUGUAAAGCUCUUUUGUAGGGGAAGAUAAUGACUGUACCCUAAGAAUAAGGUCCGGCUAACUUCGUGCCAGCCGCCGCGGUAA
rnacentral:rRNA from 1 species